UGUUUUCUAGUGGGGGAAAUAUUCAUUAUUAAGCCUGCUUUUAUUUUGACACUUACCUUCAGUUGAUGUAACUUCCUGUGAUGUCAUAUUCAGCUAGAGGAGGAAGUUCAUUACUUCAGUUGAGUCAGACCAUGCCAAGGUGAAGAGGUGCUCAUCCUUAGGUUGUUCUUGCCCUUGGAAAGGCUUUGCUUUUUUACGAAUCCCAAGGAAGAAUUCUGUGUAUCUGAAGAUUGGAGUAAACUUUCAAAACUCA